GUUUUAAUAAUUUAAAAAAAAUGAUAGCCUUGUAAGCUAAGAUUAGGGUUUGCCUUUAAAACU
rnacentral:tRNA from 1 species